rnacentral:rRNA from 1 species
GGUAUUAUUAGUUAAUGCAAGAUCGACUACGCGACUAAAGUUCUAGGUAGAAUAAUGAUGAUGACAGUUUUUUACCUAUAUGUCUUGACCAAGUCUCGUGCCAGCAGUCGCGGUAAUACGUGGAAGACUAGUGUUAUUCAUCUUUAUUAGGUUUAAAGGGUACCUAGACGGUAUUUCUAGCCCAAAAUAGGGUACGGAUUUACUAGAGUUUUAUGUGAGGAGGGGAGUACUCGUGGAGUAGAGAUGAAAUUUUGUUAUACUAUGAGGUAACUGGUAGCGGCGAAAGCAACCUUCUAUGUAUAAACUGACGUUGAGGGACGAAGGCUUGGGUAGCAAAUAGGAUUAGAUACCCUAGUAGUCCAAGCAGACAAUUCUGAAUGCCAUAGAUUCGAUUAUUUUUGAUCUAUAAAUGAAAGUGUAAGCAUUCCACCUUAGGAGUAAUGUGGCAACACAGGAACUGAAAUCAUUAGACCGUUUCUGAAACCAGUAGUGAAGUAUGUUAUUUAAAUUGAUGGUCCACAAAAAACCUUACCACAACUUGAAUAUUUUUAAUUAAUACAAGCGUUGCACGGCUGUCUUCAGUUAAUGUCGUGAGAUUUUGGUUAACUCCAUUAAUUAACGUAAACCCUUACUUUA